rnacentral:lncRNA from 1 species
AGGACUAACUGAAAGGCUUUGACAGGAACGCCUCUUUAGUGCUUGAGGCAUCUUUUACUCUGUCUGACCAAUUUUUUAGCUCAAGAUUUUCUUCUCAGUUAAGACAAAAAAAAAAAAUGUCUACCCAAAGACUGUCUGUGCUUUCUCCCCUUCUGUUCUUCUGCUUCUUCAGAGAGAGUUUCUCCAUUUGUGACGGAACAACGUGGACAAAGGUUGGAUGGGAGAUUUUUCCAGAGGAAGUGCACUACCUGAAAGUUAAGGUUCCCCCAUCCAGCUGCCUGCCUUACCCUCUGGACAAACUCUGCUGCAACUUUGCUAACAUGGACCUCUUACAGAGCUCCUUACACCUCACUUACAUCUUAGCGCAAGCUCUCUGCUUAAUCCUGUUUGCUUUAUCUGUGCAUUACCUAUGGAUGAAAUGGACAAGACACCAAAAAAAGCUGAAAAAGCAAGCUUCCUUAGAGAAACAAGCUAACGGCCUAGACCUGAGCCCAUCCAUCCAUGACAUUGAACAAAUCCUCUGCAGACUACUGGCCACAACAUCAAUGAUGACCAAGUUCCUGAAGCACGUGUCUCACCACUCUUCUGUUAAGAAAGCUAAGCAACAACGUAAAUUAAGGAAGAAGAAGAGUAAGGGAGAAGAGGAGCAGAGGAACGCUGCCACCCCGAAGCUCGUGCAGAUGUAGCUUGGUCAAGUGCGGAGAGUGUAAAAGAAAUCUAUUGCAGGGACUGUCUGGGGACACAAAGGUUUCUUUGGGGGCUUGCUUUUUUCUUUCUUUUUUUUUUUGCCACAAUCAUUACAGAAAAAUUCUCAGAUGAGCUCUGGGUUUCCGCUCAACUGAAAAAGAAUCCACUCUUUCUAACGUGGCUCCCAGAAUAAACUGAGAACACCUUAACUGGAA